AUUGAACGCUGGCGGCAUGCUUUACACAUGCAAGUCGAACGGUAACAGGCCGCAAGGUGCUGACGAGUGGCGAACGGGUGAGUAAUGCAUCGGAACGUGCCCAGUCGUGGGGGAUAACUACUCGAAAGAGUAGCUAAUACCGCAUACGAUCUAUGGAUGAAAGCGGGGGACCGUAGGGCCUCGCGCGAUUGGAGCGGCCGAUGUCAGAUUAGGUAGUUGGUGGGGUAAAGGCUCACCAAGCCAACGAUCUGUAGCUGGUCUGAGAGGACGACCAGCCACACUGGGACUGAGGCACGGCCCAGACUCCUACGGGAGGCAGCAGUGGGGAAUUUUGGACAAUGGGCGCAAGCCUGAUCCAGCAAUGCCGCGUGCAGGAAGAAGGCCUUCGGGUUGUAAACUGCUUUUGUACGGAACGAAACGGCUCUGGUUAAUACCCGGGGCUAAUGACGGUACCGUAAGAAUAAGCACCGGCUAACUACGUG
rnacentral:rRNA from 1 species